rnacentral:rRNA from 1 species
GAUGAACGCUAGCGGCAGGCUUAAUACAUGCAAGUCGAGGGGUAGCAAGAUUGUAGCAAUACAAUUGUUGACGACCGGCAAACGGGUGCGGAACACGUACACAACCUACCUACAAGUGGGGAAUAGCCCAGAGAAAUUUGGAAUAAUACCCCGUAACAUAGCGAUGUGGCAUCACAUUGCUAUUAUAGCUUCGGCGCUUGUUGAUGGGUGUGCGGCUGAUUAGAUAGUUGGCGGGGUAACGGCCCACCAAGUCUACGAUCAGUAGCUGAUGUGAGAGCAUGAUCAGCCACACGGGCACUGAGACACGGGCCCGACUCCUACGGGAGGCAGCAGUAAGGAAUAUUGGACAAUGGACGCAAGUCUGAUCCAGCCAUGCCGCGUGAAGGAUUAAGGUCCUCUGGAUUGUAAACUUCUUUUAUAAGGGACGAAAAAAGGUCUUUCUAGAUCGUCUGACGGUACCUUAUGAAUAAGCACCGGCUAACUCCGUGCCAGCCGCCGCAGUAAAAC